ACGGUGUAGAUGUCUGGGGCCGAGGACUCCUGGUCACCGUCUCCUCAGCCUCCACCACACCCCCGAAAGUCUACCCUCUGACUUCUUGCUGCGGGGACACGUCCAGCUCCAUCGUGACCCUGGGCUGCCUGGUCUCCAGCUAUAUGCCCGAGCCGGUGACCGUGACCUGGAACUCGGGUGCCCUGACCAGCGGCGUGCACACCUUCCCGGCCGUCCUGCAGUCCUCCGGGCUCUACUCUCUCAGCAGCAUGGUGACCGUGCCGGCCAGCACCUCAGGAGCCCAGACCUUCAUCUGCAACGUAGCCCACCCGGCCAGCAGCACCAAGGUGGACAAGCGUGUUGGGAUCUCCAGUGACUACUGCAAGUGUCCCAAACAGCCUUGCGUGAGGGGACCGUCUGUCUUCAUCUUCCCCCCGAAACCCAAGGACAGCCUCAUGAUCACAGGAACGCCCGAGGUCACGUGUGUGGUGGUGGACGUGGGCCAGGACGACCCCGAGGUGCAGUUCUCCUGGUUCGUGGACAACGUGGAGGUGCACACGGCCAGGACAAAGCCGAGAGAGGAGCAGUUCAACAGCACCUUCCGCGUGGUCAGCGCCCUGCCCAUCCAGCACGACCACUGGACUGGAGGGAAGGAGUUCAAGUGCAAGGUCAACAACAAAGCCCUCCCGGCCCCCAUCGUGAGGACCAUCUCCAGGGACAAAGGGCAGGCCCGGGAGCCGCAGGUGUACGUCCUGGCCCCACCCCAGGAAGAGCUCAGCAAAAGCACGCUCAGCGUCACCUGCCUCGUCACCGGCUUCUACCCAGACUACAUCGCCGUGGAGUGGCAGAGAGCGCGGCAGCCCGAGUCGGAGGACAAGUACCGCACGACCACAUCCCAGCUGGACGCCGACGGCUCCUACUUCCUGUACAGCAGGCUCAGGGUGGACAAGAGCAGCUGGCAGGAAGGAGACACCUACGCGUGUGUGGUGAUGCACGAGGCUCUGCACAAUCACUACACACAGAAGUCCAUCUCUAAGCCUCCGGGUAAAUGAGCCACACGCCCCCGCACCAGCAAGCCCUCCCCCAGCCCGCCCUCCCCGGGCUCCAGGUCCAGCCAGGACGCCCUAGCCCCUCCCUCUGUGCAUGCCUCCUGGGCCGCCAUGAAUAAAGCGCCCAGGCCGCCCUGGGACCCUGCAA